GUGCUGGCUUUGGCAGCACAUAUGGUAGAAUUGAAACAAUACAGAGAAGAUUAGGAUGGCCCCAGUGCAAGGAUGACAUGCAAAUUUGUGAAGUGUUAAAAAAUUCU
rnacentral:snRNA from 1 species